rnacentral:rRNA from 1 species
ACUCAAAGGAAUUGACGGGGGACCGCACAAGCAGCGGAGCGUGUGGUUUAAUUCGAGGCUACACGAAGAACCUUACCUAGGUUUGACAUCGCACUGAAGUCUGUGUGAAAGCAUGGAUGUCCCGCAAGGGACAGUGUGACAGGUGCUGCAUGGCUGUCGUCAGCUCGUGCCGUGAGGUGUUCGGUUAAGUCCGCAAACGAGCGCAACCCUCGGUGCCAGUUACAAGUGUCUGGCGCGACUGCCCGUGGCAAACGGGAGGAAGGUGGGGAUGACGUCAAGUCAGCAUGGCCUUUAUAUCUAGGGCUACACACACGCUACAAUGGCGCGUACAAUGGGCUGCGAACCCGCGAGGGGGAGCCAAUCCUACAAAGCGCGUCUCAGUUCAGAUUGCAGGCUGCAACCCGCCUGCAUGAAGUUGGAGUUGCUAGUAACCGCGCGUCAGCAGAGUGCGGUGAAUACGUUCCCGGUCCUUGUACACACCGCCCGU